rnacentral:rRNA from 1 species
CAAGGUUGACCUCGGAUCAGGU